rnacentral:rRNA from 1 species
AAUUGAACGCUGGCGGCAUGCCUUACACAUGCAAGUCGAACGGCAGCACGGGUGCUUGCACCUGGUGGCGAGUGGCGAACGGGUGAGUAAUACAUCGGAACAUGUCCUGUAGUGGGGGAUAGCCCGGCGAAAGCCGGAUUAAUACCGCAUACGAUCUACGGAUGAAAGCGGGGGACCUUCGGGCCUCGCGCUAUAGGGUUGGCCGAUGGCUGAUUAGCUAGUUGGUGGGGUAAAGGCCUACCAAGGCGACGAUCAGUAGCUGGUCUGAGAGGACGACCAGCCACACUGGGACUGAGACACGGCCCAGACUCCUACGGGAGGCAGCAGUGGGGAAUUUUGGACAAUGGGCGAAAGCCUGAUCCAGCAAUGCCGCGUGUGUGAAGAAGGCCUUCGGGUUGUAAAGCACUUUUGUCCGGAAAGAAAUCCUUGGCUCUAAUACAGUCGGGGGAUGACGGUACCGGAAGAAUAAGCACCGGCUAACUACGUGCCAGCAGCCGCGGUAAUACGUAGGGUGCGAGCGUUAAUCGGAAUUACUGGGCGUAAAGCGUGCGCAGGCGGUUUGCUAAGACCGAUGUGAAAUCCCCGGGGCUCAACCUGGGAACUGCAUUGGUGACUGGCAGGCUAGAGUAUGGCAGAGGGGGGGUAGAAUUCCACGUGUAGCAGUGAAAUGCGUAGAGAUGUGGAGGAAUACCGAUGGCGAAGGCAGCCCCCUGGGCCAAUACUGACGCUCAUGCACGAAAGCGUGGGGAGCAAACAGGAUUAGAUACCCCUGGUAGUCCACGCCCUAAACGAUGUCAACUAGUUGUUGGGGAUUCAUUUCCUUAGUAACGUAGCUAACGCGUGAAGUUGACCGCCUGGGGAGUACGGUCGCAAGAUUAAAACUCAAAGGAAUUGACGGGGACCCGCACAAGCGGUGGAUGAUGUGGAUUAAUUCGAUGCAACGCGAAAAACCUUACCUACCCUUGACAUGGUCGGAAUCCUGCUGAGAGGCGGGAGUGCUCGAAAGAGAACCGGCGCACAGGUGCUGCAUGGCUGUCGUCAGCUCGUGUCGUGAGAUGUUGGGUUAAGUCCCGCAACGAGCGCAACCCUUGUCCUUAGUUGCUACGCAAGAGCACUCUAAGGAGACUGCCGGUGACAAACCGGAGGAAGGUGGGGAUGACGUCAAGUCCUCAUGGCCCUUAUGGGUAGGGCUUCACACGUCAUACAAUGGUCGGAACAGAGGGUUGCCAACCCGCGAGGGGGAGCUAAUCCCAGAAAACCGAUCGUAGUCCGGAUUGCACUCUGCAACUCGAGUGCAUGAAGCUGGAAUCGCUAGUAAUCGCGGAUCAGCAUGCCGCGGUGAAUACGUUCCCGGGUCUUGUACACACCG